AGUGAACGCUGGCGGCAGGCCUAACACAUGCAAGUCGAACGGCAGCACGGCAGUAGCAAUACUGUGGGUGGCGAGUGGCGGACGGGUGAGGAAUACAUCGGGAUCUACCCUGUUGUGGGGGAUAACGUAGGGAAACUUACGCUAAUACCGCAUAAGAACUGAGGUUGAAAGCGGCGGACCGCAAGGCGUCGCGCGAUUGGAUGAACCGAUGUCCGAUUAGCUAGUUGGCGGGGUAAAGGCCCACCAAGGCGACGAUCGGUAGCUGGUCUGAGAGGACGACCAGCCACACUGGAACUGAGACACGGUCCAGACUCCUACGGGAGGCAGCAGUGGGGAAUAUUGGACAAUGGGCGCAAGCCUGAUCCAGCCAUGCCGCGUGGGUGAAGAAGGCCUCGGUUGUAAGACC
rnacentral:rRNA from 1 species